GAGUCCACAGUCAAAGGAAGCAAAAAUGCAGCAUUUCCAGGAAGUUGUCAUCUUGAAGUUUCUGGAGCCACCUCUUAUUUGUUCUGUGAAUGUCAGCUUCGUGAAGGCAGAGGUUUUUAUCUGCCUUGUUUGCUGCUAUAUUCCCUGUGCCAAAAACAUUGCUUGGCACAUGGUGGGUACUCAUUAAAAGAUCUGUUGAAUAAAUAGGUGAAUUAGGGGAGUAAGCAGGAGAGCUCCCUUUGGAAAUGUUUCACACAGGAAAGAAUACUGGAGUUGGACCUUGCCAAAAGAGAAGGGUCUCGGUGGACAGCUGUAGUUAAAUGGCUUUUUGGUCUCAGGGAACAGCUGAAGUGAUGGCCCAGGGAGGGGAAACUGCAUGGUGUGUUCAGGGAACAGAGUUGUCCAGCAUAGAGGAAUGUAGGACAUUCGAUGACAAUGGUGUCAGAUAAAGUUAGGACCAGAUCACUGAGAGUUUUCAAAGCCAGGUGGCAGUGCUGUGUGUUUUCCUGCAGGUAUUGGGUUCUGGAGAAAGAAAUUUGACAUCCACUUACUGGGAAGACUGACUGCAUGCACAGCCUCACCCACCGGGAGAUGGCAGAAGAUCUCCGAUUCCAUUUACCAGGUACCUUUUGAGCAUCCACUGUGUCCACAGAAAAAAAAACUAGUGGCAGAAGGUGUAGCAGGAAGGGCCCUGGCAGGGAAAGAGGCAGGAGGUGGGUCCCAAGCUGGGCCUCCUAGCCUGCUGUCAGUCUCAUGAUGGAGACAGGCCAGCUGAUCUUAAGGGCCCCUGCAGCCCUGACAUUCUGGGACUCUAAUUAUAGAAGACAAAGCUUCAUUCCAGAUAGCUGGGGAAAUCCUUGGGUUCAAUUUCACCUCCAGGGGCUUGCAGUUCAGUGGGCACUGAGGCGGUUAAAAAGGAAUGGAAUGGAAAUCCAGAGCAUGCCUCAGCCUAAUCGUUUCUCAGCUGACUGUUUGCUUCUAGAUAUCAGCAACUCUUUUAGGAAUGCGAAACAGCAGCCUUUUCACAGGCAAGGGUCGAGGUUUGGUUCCUGAUCUUUUCUCUUUGCAUUGUGAAGAGGGUAGGCCAUGCGGGCCAAGAGGAAAUCAAAGACCAGAUUCCUCCCAGACUUCCUUUCCAAAAACCUCAAAGGAAGGGUAGAGCUGUAGUCAUAUGGACAGGACCACUCUUCUCAUAAAUAAGUCUCAGCUUUCACAGAAACCAAUCAAACGGGCAGCUGAUAGGGAAGCCCCUAUUCCAACAGGCCCACCCGGUCUGCCUGUUCUGGGUCUGCCCAAGUGGGGCCCAUGGGAGGCCAGUGGCUUUGGGUGUCAUUUCUGACACAGAAGCCAUGCAUACACAAAGAAAGCAGCUUAGAGAAAAGGGCUAUGAACAGUCAAACAAUUGGUUACUGGAAAAUCACCAAGGCAACCCAUGAAAAACAAAAUAAAUACAUGCCUCUAACAAGCUA